AUGGGGCCGGAAUGGUUCCUGAACCUCAUGGCGGAGUGCGAUGAGGGCGGUCGUCUCAGAGUCCUCAUGUUGAUGUGGAGGUGUUGGUUCAUCCGGAAUGAGAUCCAACAUGACAAGAGACCACCGCCCAUGGAGGUUUCUCGACGAUUCUUACAUAGCUACAUCGCCUCGUUAUUAGGCAUACAUCAAUAUCCAGCCGGUGAGUGGGACAAGGGCAAGAUGGUUGUGCAUCUCGAUGGGGCGGAGCAACCAUUACCACAGGUGUCGAAAGAGCCGAACAUUCUGCGCAAAUGGCAACCGCCUCCGGUCGGAUGGGCCAAGUUGAAUGUUGAUGGGUCCUACACCCACGAAGAUGGUAGGGCGGGUACUGGGAUGGUCCUGCGCGGUCAUGAUGGUGGCAUCAUCUUCUUUGCUUGCCGCUAUUUGCGAUCAUGCUCUGGCCCUUUACAUGCUGAGCUUGAGGGAUGCCGGCAAGGCCUUGGCCUAGCCUUACAGUGGACUGAGCUAUCAUUCUUGAGUGCGAUAGCUUGCAUGCCGUAUCGAUGA
rnacentral:rRNA from 1 species